AUAUGGGUAAAUGAAACAUUACUGAUAUUAUCAGUAAAAUUUACUUAUAAAAUCUGUGAAUUUCACUCAUAUUAUUGGUAAGUCUGCCUUCACCCAUAUUUGGGUGAUCGAUCUUACCCAUUUUUGGUUGAAAAAAUAAUCUUGUCAACAACUUCACAACAAACAUGGAGAUUCGAAAAACUCUCCUGCUAUUUUCAUCGUCGCAGUAGCAGUUAAAUUAUUUAAAUACAAAUUGUGGAUUCCCAAGGCUUAGCAUGGUUGCAAACAAUAAUUUCGAUUUCGCAUUUGCUUGAAAAAUCGGUGGCAGUUCAAUUCGGUGAGUUACGAUGCAGGCAAUGAACGUGCGCUUCCUGGACCAGCGUAAUCAUCUUCAUAAUCAAGCGUAGCUGAAACCUUACAUAGCUACAUAGCUCGAAAGGUGGUCAAGAAUGUUAUGCUCGUCGGUACGUUGGUGGAACUUCAUCCGGAACGUCCGCGACUGAAAACGAUUCAUCAACUACGAAGGUUAUCGGGAGGCGGCAUUAACGCUUUAUAAUGUUUAUAUAGCUCAACCUGCCAUAUGAUCUCAGCGAUAUCCGUACUGCCGUCAUACACAUAUUUGCCCCAUGCUUGCUGGGAUUUCCUAUGUACAUGGGACAAUUAUGCGUAGAACGGUAGCGUACCAAUGUGCUGGAUUUUGUUGGAUUUAUCCGAGACCAGAUUACCGAGUGUCUCCAAUCGGCUAGUCCAGGAGAAUGACGGCUGCAGUUUGCGAGGCCAAAUCAAACCAACAAUCAAUACUAUUUGGCACCAGAAACUCCAAUUUUUGCGUGAUAUUCCGGUUUGUGAUCUUCCGGGAAUUGGCCCCAACAUAGAGAUCUGCGGAGUAUUCCAGGUGCUUCCGGAGGGGAUACACAGAAGACUAUACUUCUAGCCAGGCGAACUUUCACGCUGAAUCGCCUGAUCUGAAGGAUGAUGCAUUGGUCUGAAGAAGUAAUACAAAUUGUAUUAAGCUUUUAAUUUAUAAUAAAUGAUUGUCUACCGUUUAAAAAAUAUGAUUUCAUAAAUAAUAAUUUCAGAAUUUUCGGAAAUAUUGCUGGAACGCUCAUUAAAAAAGCUUGAAUAUUUACUCAAAUAUAGGUAAAAUUCACCUGGGAAUUUUUGUUCUAUA